CCCCAUUUAUCCAAAUGCUACAAUAUACUCCAAACUACAACCAAAUGUGUUAAAGUCAUUUACAGACCUUUAUUCAAAAACUGAAAGGUCACCAAUGCAAAGUAACUAUAACAUUGAGCACUACUUUACCUGAACGGCAUCAAGUCAACUUAAAUAUUUAACUAUUCCAGUGGCGUGCGACUGCUGCUAGCUGAAUUCCUCAGCCAGGAUAUAACAAGGAAAAAUAACACAAUGCUACAAUCAGCACAUCUUUUUAUAUAGAUCCAUUUUUUCUCUUUCUAAUAUAAUACGCUAUCACAAUCUGAAAAACUGAAUAUGACAAGAAAUGGUAUUUGUUUGUAUUAGUUGCAGCUUAAUUCAUACGCGGUGACAUCUCUAUAUAAUCAGUUAAAACAGGGUCUCAAAUGUGCAAAUCCUUAAAUUCAUUUCCUUCAGUCAAUCGGAUUUUCCACCUUCCGAGCAGCUGUAAGGAUCGCAGCUUACUGAAUCUAUCUGAUAGUAGCUUACAAAGAAACUGAUUGUAGCUAUGAGGGUAAAUUAACUUUCUACACAAACCAUACUUACUCAAAUUUCCUCAAAAAGAAACAAGCUUAUUUGAUAGCUUUCAACCAUGUCAAAAGGUAAUCAGAUAAAUGCCAUAUGGAGUAGACUGUCCCACGCCCUAGAAAACCACAAAAACACCUGCAAAGAGUUGGCCAUCAUCAAUCAUAGGCUAGUGAAGCAAAUCCAGUACUAUGAUACAAAAGCAACUCACAUGGCCAUGUUUUAUGUUAUUUACCUGCUUAUCAUUUUCCUGUCAAACUCGAAACCCUCGCCAGUCCAAUGUAAAAACUGGUGGAAACCUUUCUCCCUUUCCAUUUUGGUCGCAGUUGCAUUUGGUGCCAACUUCAUAUCCACCACAAUUAAAUGCAUCCACAUAAAGAAUGCUCUAGACACGAACUGGAUUGACCAGGGGCUGAGCAUUCAACAAAUGGCUCACCUUGAGCUAACAGCACAAAAAGAAGCAGAAUUCAUGGACCAUCAAAGGAGCUGCAACCAAGUUGUCAAUGUUGAACCAUACUCCACGAGUUCAGACGCAGACUCCCUAGACCAGAAGGAGAGCUAUGUGCAUUUGCCCCAUGUUAAAAGUCAUGUUGCUUACCCAUAUACUGAUACAGAUGCGGAAAGUUCAUCCAGUACGGUUGUGGAUUUGCCUAGAACAUACUCAACCCAGCAGCAGCAAAAUGUGGAUAGCAUUACUGUCUUUCAACGGUAUGCCAACGCUGGAAUAACUGUUUCCUUCUUGCUAGCCUACACAGUUCUGGUAUUGUACGAAUGUCGCUCUUCUGUUUGUGAUCGCAGUGCAUAGUUGGACAUACAAGUGAACCGGUAAAGCUCCUGUUUCCUGAGUUACUAGAAAAUAAACAAUUAGAACCACAAGGACUAUUCUAACUACCAUAGAUCUAGAGCUUUUCUCUGUGUGUGUGUUUAUAUAUGGUUUAUUAUUACAUUAAACUCUUCCUGAAGUUAAACUUAACCGAUGAUAAAAGAUAAUAAGAGCAUGCAAUUAAUGGAAGCUCUGUACAUGCUAACAAAAUAUAACAAAGAGUAUAAUAAUCAGGUUGAGAAAUAUGUACUCCCUCACUUUAGACGACACUUACUAUUUAAAAUCAAAAAUAAAUGGUUGAAACAGAGAAGUGCUACCAAGGUGUUAUGUGAUAGAAUCAUGCCUAUCAAAAGUGAAAGUUAAAUACCAUAGAACACUUAGAAAACCAUAUGUCAUAUGGAAGUGAAUGUUGGGCUAUUAAACCCCGUGUAACACAUCCACAAGAUGAGCGUUACAAAGAUGUGAUUGCUUAGAUGGAUGUGUGGUCAAUAAGAUUAAAUAAAAUUAAAAAUGACCACAUCCACCAUAAGGUGCAAGUAGU
rnacentral:lncRNA from 1 species